GCAGUCUGGAGAUUUCCGAUUUCGAUUGGAAUAGUAAACUGGCGAAAGGGUGCGUAACGCGUAGGCAACCUGCCUCGGAGUGAGGAAUAACUUCGCGAAAGCGGAGCUAAUACCGCAUGAUGUCCCGAAGCCGCAUGACUUUGGGAUUAAAGAUAUUGUGCUCUGAGAUGGGCCUGCGUCCUAUUAGUUAGUUGGUAGGGUAACGGCCUACCAAGACGACGAUGGGUAGCUGGUCUGAGAGGAUGAUCAGCCACACUGGCACUGAGACACGGGCCAGACUUCUACGGAAGGCAGCAGUGAGGAAUAUUGGGCAAUGGGCGCAAGCCUGACCCAGCAACGCCGCGUGGGUGAUGAAGCUCCGAGGAGUGUAAAGCCCUGUUAGGAGGGAAGAAUCAUCCGAUUUAUCGGAAUUGACGGUACCUCCAGAGAAAGCUCCGGCUAACUCCGUGCCAGCAGCCGCGGUAACACGGGGGGAGCAAGCGUUGUCCGGAUUUACUGGGCGUAAAGAGCAUGUAGGCGGAGUAAUUAGUCAGUGGUGAAAUCUUUCAACUUAAGUGAGAGCGUGCCAUUGAAACUAUUACUCUUGAGUGCGGAAGAGGGGAGUGGAAUUCCUGGUGUAGCGGUGAAAUGCGUAGAUAUCAGGAAGUACACCAGUAGCGAAGGCGGCUUCCUGGUCCGCAACUGACGCUGAGAUGCGAAAGCGUGGGGAGCAAACAGGAUUAGAUACCCUGGUAGUCCACGCCGUAAACGAUGGGCACUAGGUGUUGGAGGGUUCGACCCCUUCAGUGCCGCAGCUAACGCAU
rnacentral:rRNA from 1 species